rnacentral:lncRNA from 1 species
GAGGAGUACCUUUGAUUCUCUGCCUCUCAGUAAAGAUAUCAGUCUAAGGGUGUUUUCUCAGGGGGGAAACAAGUUCUACUAAUUUCUAUAGAACUGGUUUACAUAGUACACAAAAGUGCAAGAGUGCUAAUUCUCAAUAGCUUUAUCCUUCAUGUAUUCCUCCCCUUUUAACUCUCUCGAAGGUUCGUAGCCAUCUCUACACCUUGUGACAGUAAUUUCCGUAAUUUAAACUGCAUGCAGUGGGAGCAAGUCUUGCCUAUCCUGAAUCUUGCACUAUUUGUCAUCAUUGGAUGACCCCCGGUUCUCUUCAUUCCAGAGUGGUAAGAAACUUGAUUGCCAACAUAGCGCACAGAACAAGGUCCACUAGACUUCCCCACCCUCUUCUGCCCGUGUGCCCCCAAUGCCCCCUUAAACCUCUUCUGGGGAUUCUCCCAUCCUUCCAGAGCAAGACCUCAUUCUGUGCAUGCGACAACUUAGCUGAAUUUUGCCCCAAGGGACAAAUCUAUAAAUUGCUGCUAAACAAUAUUUUUGAGGAUACGUUAUCGCUACAGUAAACCAUUCAGAUUUUGAGACCAAUUAAUAAAUCAUUAGGUACACUGAAGAUCAACUUCCAGUGAAGAUAUUCCAGGACCAUUUAUUUUUUUAAACUUCUAAGGAGUUACAGAUUUUGAAGAUGGUAGCCUGGCACAUUCCCCCUGUGUUUGCACCAGAUGACGCAUCAGCUUUCCAUGAUUCAUGAUAAUUUAGACUUAAGUGGUCCUUAAUGGUUACCCGCGUUGGCUCUCCAUCAUACAUCUUUCAGUAUCAAGGGAACUGUAAAUUUGUGUAAAGAUGAAAGAUGUGUGUGAAGACAGAACACAGAAAACAUACACAGUUUCUUUUUCAGUAGGUUGAUAAGCAUAUUAAUAUAUUUUUUAGAAGAGCAGUUUUUGACUGUUCUGGAGAGCUUUAGGACUGUUCAUUUAACAAUCUGUGGGUGGAUUUCCAGGCAGUUACCUCCCAAAAGUUACAAGUGAAAUAUACAUGCACAUUCAUAAAAUGCCAACACUUACAAUAUCAGUUGCAGCAUACAAAUACAACAGUAGGUAGAAAGUGUGAAAUCCACUCCUAUAGGCUGUAAAUUUAGCAUUUGGGGGAUCCUAAUCUUGCCUAUGGGACGCAGGUGGUGCCGUGGGUUAAACCACAGAGCCUAGGACUUGCUGAUCAGAAGGUCGGCGGUUUGAAUCCCCACGACGGGGUGAGCUCCCAUUGCUUGGUCCCUGCUCCUGCCAACCUAGCAGUUUGAAAGCACGUCAAAGUGCAAGUAGAUAAAUAUGUACCGCUCCAGCGGAAAGGUAAACGGCGUUUCUGUGUGCUGCUCUGGUUCGCCAGAAGCGGCUUAGUCAUGCUGGCCACAUGACCCGGAAGCUGUACGCCGGCUCCCUCGGCCAAUAAAGCAAGAUGAGCGCCGCAACCCCAGAGUCGGUCACGACUGGACCUAAUGGUCAGGGGUCCCUUUACCUUAAUCUUGCCUAUACAAUGCAAACUCUGUGGAUUCAGUGAUGACUCUAUUGAGCAGGUAAUUCAGAUGUGCACAUUGAUCUAGGAAGGAAUUCCAUUUGUCCAAGUGGCUUCUAUGAUGAUGGACAUCUAUACUGAGCUUGUGGGUGGAUAUGAAAUUCUGUAUUGUAACAUUUUCCUUAUAUACUGUGGAUGAGUGUGUGAAUUUUUCACUGCACUUGAAUGCAAAUUGUAAUGCACAUAGUGAAUUUUCCAGAACAAGAGUGAAUUAAAUAUAUCUAAAUAAACAUUCAAACCCUGUGCCAAUGAUUUUGUUUACAUGAGGCAAUGUCAGGAUCACUGGAGAACCCUUGAAAGUCCUAGCUCUGAUCUGAAAGAAUAUCCAGGAAUGAAAAACAAUGUCCUUGGCUGUGUCAUUCUACCAAGGAGAUCAAUCCAUUGAAAAUGGUAACAAAUUAUAAACCUGCUUCUCCUCUCACACCAGUUCAACAGCUCAGGGUGUUUUCACACUUUCCAUUUUGCCAGUAACAAAGCAAAACAAGCAAAUCAAGUUCUUUCAACUAAGAUGCUAACUUUGCAAGUAGCAAUACAUUAAAGUCCAUGCCAGCAGUGUGUCUUCAUCCAGCAACCCACGCAUCAAACAUUCAUCUCCAGACCUUUAUUUUUUAAAAAGUUUAAGACUUCAGCAACUCUAUAGCUUUCCUGGUGUAUUAAAUAAAGAACUAUGCCUUGCUCUCCCUAAUAAUCUUAAAAAAUAAUUUGCUGCAAAGCUGUUGCAACUGGAUAGGUGUGGCUGGAUAGGUGUGGCUUUUCCUGCUAUAGGUGAGGAAUUUAAUCCUUGUUUUGUAGAGAUAUACAGUUGACCUACAUGAGAAGGAAAUGAGUUCGCAGCAAAAAAGGGAAGGUGUUGACUCUGUAGGAAAAGGAGAUCAUGACUCCUAAAUCUCUCAUCAAACAAAUAUAAGCAGGAUCUGUGGUCUGUGGUCCCUAGGCCUAGUUUGCAUACAGUAUUUAGCAGAAUCACAGUGAAGCUUUUCUUGGAAUGCACCCUAACCCUUAAGGUUGCAGGUGGGAGCUUGAACGCUUUCAUGUUCUCCCAUCCUGAAUGUUGUGGGGAAAAACAUGCCAGGGAGAAGGCUAGCUCAAAUCGGCCUCCUAGACAUGCUGGCUUUCUGUGUGCAGGGAGUUUACACUGUAAACUGGGUCUAAGGGCUUCCCCACACCUCUGUUUUCCCAGUCACUUUCAUCCAGGGAAACCCAGAGUUUAGCACUGAAUCGGAGCAAACAGCAAUCGGAUUUUCCACAGGUGGCUGUUCUGAUUUAGUGCUAAAGAGUGUGUUUUCCAGGAAGAAGUGGCAGGUCAAAGGCAAAACAGCUCAGACCUAUGCCUAGAAACCACAGUGCAAGUGGGAAACCGCUUGACCCAUGCUUUCUCAGCAAAUGACAAGCGGAAGUGCGGCGAGCCCCGAGGCAAGCUUUAUCGCUGGAUUUUACUGAAUAUACCAACAAGACUAGGACCUGUUUGCUGUAAUUCCAAAAGUCUGAAUUACACAGUUCUCUUCUAAAUGUUUAAUGUACUUUGUGAGAGUUUCUGUGCCUAGAAGAUUCUUGCUUACAGAUCUUUCCAUACCAUCAGCCCCCGCCGUUCUCCGUUCAAGCAUCCACUCAACGGCUGAAAUAAAUUGUGCAAAACGAUUUCCACUUGCAAAGCUGGCAGCACAGCCCUGUGUGUCCAGCAUUUUGUUGAAGUUUGCUUUUUAUCUGUGGGAAAGAAUUCGCAGUAUCAGUGCCCACUCAACAAAUGGGGCACCGGUGAGUGAUUGUGGGCGCCUCUGAUUAGUUGGUUGCACACACAUUUACUGUCUCGCACAGCUGGGGCACGUCAUGCAUACAUUUGCCUUGAAACGGGCUACAGAUGUGAAGAGGUAAAGUAUUUGAAGCUGAACAAAUGGGGGGGGGGCUGAAGAUGCUCCUUGCCUGGAGCACCAUUUCAUUAAAGGCUUGACCUGCUGUAGUGACAUAAAACUUGUUUAUUUCCAUACAGGAACUUCAUAGCAACUGACAGGAGUGAGCCAGCAGUAAAUCACACAAAGUAAGUAGAGUGAACUCUUUAUUAGUACAGUGGUACCUCGGGUUACAGGGACGUGGGUGGCGCUGUGGGUUAAACCACAGAGCCUAGGACUUGCCGAUCAGAAGGUUGGCAAUUCGAAUCCCCGUAACGGGGUGAGCUCCCGUUGCUCGGUCCCUACUCCUGCCAACCUAGCAGUUCGAAAGCACAUCAGAGUGCAAGUAGAUAAAUAGGUACCGCUCCAGUGGGAAGGUAGUCAUGCUGGCCACAUGUCCUGGAAGCUGUACGCCGGCUCCCUUGGCCAGUAAAGCGAGAUGAGCGCCGCAACCCCAGAGUUGGCCACGACUGGACCUAAUCGUCAGGGGUCCCUUUACCUUUACCUCGGGUUAUAUACACUUCAGGUUACAUACGCUUCAGGUUACAGACUCCGCUAACCCAGAAAUAGUGCUUCAGGUUAAGAACUUUGCUUCAGGAUGAGAACAGAAAUCGUGCUCUGGCGGUGCGGCAGCAGUGGGAGGCCCCAUUAGCUAAAGUGGUGCUUCAGGUUAAGAACCGUUUCAGGUUAAGAACGGACCUCCGGAACGGAUUAAGUACUUAACCUGAGGUACCACUGUAAACACAGGAUCCACACGGGAGUGUCAGGCCUCAUGAGCCCGGCAACUCUUCUUGCCCCGAUGAAGCACUUGCAGAGAUUAUGGGGCAUGGCCUUCCCUUAGGUGCCUCUCCAGGGUUUUUCCCAAGCAAUCUGAGACUGUGCCUGCAUGACACUAAUUUCUCCUCUGCCUACUUAAGACCUCUUCUGAUUCUGGCAGACAGGGGAGAGGGGAGCUUGUUGCAGCAGGAGGGGGCCUCACCUGUGCCUCUCUACCAGCCUGACUCAUCUCUGCAUCUUGGUCUCCCUCUCCUCCUGCUUCUGCUUCUUCUUCUGGACUUCUCUCUGCUACAGACGCUCACAGGUCACUAAACUCUGUCACCACUUCAGCUUCUGACAUCUCCCAGUCUUUUCCCUUUUCUCCUUUUAUUGGGGGUUCCCCAGCUGGUUCCUCCCACCAUUCCUCUGCCUCCAAUCAGUCCCUGACAACAACAUUUCCCAGCUAGCUUCAAAACGCUCUUUGCUGGCCAAAUCCAGAUGUUCUAGGCUGUCCCCUUUCAGCCUCCCGUCUUGCAGGUUGGUGUAGCUCCAGGUAUCUUUCACUAUAGUCUUUUUGUGUAUCUCAGUGCAGGCCCAAUGAAGUGGUUGGGGACACCUGUUCAAUAGGAACUAGCAGGCUGUACAAGAGCAGAGGAAGAAAGAGACAUAUCUUUGCUUGGCACAAUAUCUAAAUAACCCGAAUGAAGCUUUCCUUUCCUCGUCUCAGCAUUCCUACUAUAUUAGGCCCACUACUUAAACGCAGUGUGCGAGAAUCAAUUUUCUCUUUGUGCAGAGAGUGGCUUCACACUUUCAGAUGAAAAUUGCUAACUUUUCAAUGAGUGCGGCAGGUAGAUAAUAGGCUGAAACUAUUGCAGCGUUGAAUUCAGGAAUACAGAGCCAGAGCUUGCUCCUCUUGAUGCCAGUGGCAAAACUGCCAUAAUGAGGCAACUAUAAUUUGCUGCCAAGACAUUAUUAGAAAUUCAGUAGAUGGUUAUUAUUAUUCACAAAACUAGCAAGAGAGUCAGUAAUAGCUGUCACCAUUAGAAAUGUAGCCAAAGGAACAAUUCUUCCUAAAUGUCUAGCUUCUGCUUCCUUUGGAAAUGGAAAGGUGCUUUGAAGUGCCACAGUCACCCACCUGUAACAGUGCCAUAACUUUCGUAAGCCUAGAAACAUAUUAUUAGAUCUCACCUUUGCUGUGCUUUCGUCUAUCCUGCUGUAGCUAGUUACCUGUGUGUUUCCAGUCUUCAGAUUCUGCACUAUGAGAGUUUCCCUUUUUAAAAAAUUCAGCACCACUAACUUACACCAGUUUUUAAAAUAGCUAAGUAGAUUCACUUGAAGUUGUUUGCAAGUGCUAAGAAAAUCUAAACCUACAUGGAUCGCCUUGCUAGGCUGGAAUUUCUAGGCCAGAUGCCUCAAGGCUGGGUUGGGAACCAUGGAUUCUGAUCCCAAUACUUGCCCAGUGGAUGUACAUUGCCAUCAUCUACAGGGAUCAUCAUUUAAUACUAGUAAUUGAAAACAUCUUACUGCAGGUAACUUAUCUUUGGAUUAACACCAAGGAUUAAAGGGACCACAACCCUCACAUUAUAGCAUUGAGAAGAGAGACUUGAGAAGAACCCAAAUAAGAUUCUUUGAAGUAUGGUUCUAAAGCUAUAUUUAAGGUUGUUUGAGGCAACAUGGUGCCCAUGGUCCAAAACGUUUUAUUAAGCUUUUUAGCAUUAAUUGAAGGGGGUGGGGAAGCAGUGCAGGCCUAAGACAUAAUGUUGCUGGAAGCUGACACAAACACCAAGGCCAACAUUUUAAAAAGUUUUGCUGUACCAUUCAGACGCCAGUUCUCUCCCCUC